rnacentral:rRNA from 1 species
UACGUAGGAGGCAAGCGUUGUCCGGAAUUACUGGGCGUAAAGCGCGUGUAGGUGGUGGGACAAGUCUGCUGUGAAAGCGCCUGGCUUAACCGGGCGAGGUCGGCGGAAACUGUCCGACUCGAGGACGGUAGAGGGGGGUGGAAUUCCCGGUGUAGUGGUGAAAUUCGUAGAUAUCGAGAGGAACACCGGUGGCGAAGGCGGCCAACUGGACGAAUACUGACGCUGAGACACGAAAGCGUGGGGAGCAAACAGG